GGCUUGUUGGUCUAGGGGGAAAUAUGAUUCUCGCUUUGGGUGCGAGAGGUCCCGGAUUCAUUCCCGGACGAGCCC